CCGGUCCUUGGCUGCGUGUUCUAGAUUCCACUCCCUUCUACAGCUUUCCUUCAGAGAAAGAGAGAGAGAGGGGGGCCAAUUUGUGCAUUUCCUCCGUAGUCGUCGCCCCUUGCCCUUUUGCUACAGUGUCGCGGGACGUGAGAGCAACUGUAUCUUUCUGCUUUCAAAGAUAUUGCGUCACGGCCCUAGGCCAAAAUCGUCACCAUAAAAAAUCAUGGUUUUCACUAGGUAAGCUCUUCAUCUGGGGCGUGAAUGGAUGUAUCGAUUCCUGGGUUUUGAUUUGUAGUGUUAAUCGGUUCACUAGUGGUUCGAGCCUUUAUCGCCCUCUCUUCAACCGAAGCUCUAUUCUGAUUUGCAUCCCUAGGAUCAGGGAUUCAAGUAGUCGGAAGAAAACCAUAGCCGCUGUGUCGUACUGUAGAGAAAAUAACUAUGGCCAGAUCACUUUUAAGCCAGAUGUCAAAUUCAUGCGUGACUAUGGUGAUUUGUUAGAGUUGGGCGGUGAUCUUGAAUACACAAUAGAGAAUGAUUUAGUGAUUUGGUUGGAGCCAUUGUGCAGAAUUCAUUUGUGUGAUAUAGCACUAUUGGUAUUUAUCUAGCAUUUCAAGUCAUUACGAUUUAUAUAUUUUUACUUGUUGCUGUGCUUUAUUAAUUUGAAGAAAAAAUUAGAAUUUCUUGCAAGUAUAUAUAGUUUUUUCACUUUCUAUUAAAGAAACUUCUUUCUUCUAGGUGUUGGUUGUUGUUGGUAUUUAGCAUACAUCUCGAACCCUGAUAUAACUAGCUUAAUGGUGGACAAAAUAUACCUUUUAACACACCUUCAAAAAUUGCGAAUGAGGAAGUUUCCCUCGCUGAAAUGGAAGCACUAUGGUCAUUCGUUCUCCGUAUGUUUGCUGGACUAUGGAAAGGCAUCCAAUUCCAGGAGUUGGUGUUCGUGAUUGUUAUUUUGUUGUUACUGCUGAGGUCGAAAAAUUUUAUUUUUGCAACAUACCCAAGAGAAAAUGACAGCACCAUUUCCAAAGCACACUACAAAUUCGUUUGUGACUAUGUUGAUCGACUGGGAUUGGGUGUCGAUUCACACUAGACUUCAGAGGCCUCCCUGGUAGUCUGGCUAAAUGCUAUCACUCAUAAUUUAUUUGUGUGUGAAAGUAAUGUUAGUAUUCACUUAAUAUUUCUUUGAUUAAAGCUUUGUGUUUAUUUUAUUGUUUUCCUCUGUUAGUAGUUUAAAAAAUUGGAUUUUCUUGUGUUCAUAAAGAGUUGUAUCAGUAGUUAUUAUUUUUUUAAGAAAAGUUUUGCUUCUUGAGUGUGGAUUGUAGCUGGUAUUUGGCAGAAAUUACAGACCUCCAUUUGACUAGUUUAAGGGUUUGAUUCUCUAACUUACUGUCUUUUAUUUAGCAAUUCUUUUCUUGUAGUUCUUGUUGUUUUCACUUUAUUCUUUAGUGAUGACAUGAUUAUUGCAUAGGUAUUGCCACAGGAGUGUAAGCGAUUUCUACAAGGUCACAACAGGACAACAAUCACAGAGCUAUGGAUAAUGAUACAUGUACCAUAGUUAAAAUUCUACUUAUAACUUGAUGUUGUAUAAAUGUUAGCAAGUCAUGUAAGUGCAAAAAAUCAUCAUUGCCCUCAAGUUUUAAGCUCUUGUUCUACUUUAGCUCACUACAAUUACAAGAGGGUGCCAAUCUUGCCUCUCAGUUAUUGAGUUUGUGGUGCCUUCUCUAUUUUCUCUCCGUAUUUAGUUAGAUUCUUUUUUUUUUUUGUUCUAUUUUCUUCCCGCAUUUAGUUAGAUUCAUUUUUUUGCCUCUUGUUCUUUGAGAGUUAAGAUAACUAUGUUGAAAGAGCAGACUAACAUUUACUUCUCAAUGUACACACCUUAAACUUCCUCAAACAUACAGUACAUCACAGGCACAAAAUUCAUAGGCAUG